UCAUUAUAGAGAUUGGUUGGGUAACACCUUCCAAACCUCCCACCCUAUGUUUACAUUACCUUUGUUGCUUUGGUAGGCCCGUCUCUAAGACCGCCGGCUUCGGCUGGCCAGUGCCUACCAGAGGAUCCAAAACUCUGUUUAAUUGUAUCGUCUGAGUACUAUAUAAUAGUUAAAACUUUCAACAACGGAUCUCUUGGUUCUGGCAUCGAUGAAGAACGCAGCGAAAUGCGAUAAGUAAUGUGAAUUGCAGAAUUCAGUGAAUCAUCGAAUCUUUGAACGCACAUUGCGCCCUCUGGUAUUCCGGGGGGCAUGCCUGUUCGAGCGUCAUUACAACCCUCAAGCUCAGCUUGGUAUUAGGCGUCGCCCGUAAGGGUGUGCCGUAAAAUCAGUGGCGGUGCCAUCUGGCUUCAAGCGUAGUAAUUUUCUCGCUUAGAGGUUUAGGUGGUUACUUGCCAGCAAUCCCAAUUUUUUUUACUGGUUGACCUCGGAUCAGGUAGGGAUACCCGCUGAACUUAAGCAUAUCAAUAAGCGGAGGAAAAGAAACCAACAGGGAUUGCCUUAGUAACGGCGAGUGAAGCGGCAACAGCUCAAAUUUGAAAUCUGGCCUUUGGUCCGAGUUGUAAUUUGUAGAGGAUGCUUUGAACAUGGUCUGGUCUAAGUUCCUUGGAACAGGACGUCAUAGAGGGUGAGAUCCCGUAUGCGACUGGGUACCUAAGUUCAUGUAAAGCUCCUUCGACGAGUCGAGUUGUUUGGGAAUGCAGCUCAAAAUGGGUGGUAAAUUUCAUCUAAAGCUAAAUAUUGGCCAGAGACCGAUAGCGCACAAGUAGAGUGAUCGAAAGAUGAAAAGCACUUUGGAAAGAGAGUUAAACAGUACGUGAAAUUGUUGAAAGGGAAGCGCUUGCAACUAGACUUGCAUGCAGUCGAUCAUCCGAUGUUUUCACCGGUGCACUCGAUUGUAUUCAGGCCAGCAUCGGUUUCGGUGGUUGGAUAAAGGCCUUAGGAAUGUAGCUUCUCUCGGGGAGUGUUAUAGCCUUCGGUGCAAUGCAGCCUACUGGGACCGAGGACCGCGCUUCGGCUAGGAUGCUGGCGUAAUAGUUGUAAGCGACC
rnacentral:rRNA from 1 species